rnacentral:rRNA from 1 species
AUGCUGACAUAAGUAACGAUAAAGCGGGUGAAAAGCCCGCUCGCCGGAAGACCAAGGGUUCCUGUCCAACGUUAAUCGGGGCAGGGUGAGUCGACCCCUAAGGCGAGGCCGAAAGGCGUAGUCGAUGGGAAACAGGUUAAUAUUCCUGUACUUGGUGUUACUGCGAAGGGGGGACGGAGAAGGCUAUGUUGGCCGGGCGACGGUUGUCCCGGUUUAAGCGUGUAGGCUGGUUUUCCAGGCAAAUCCGGAAAAUCAAGGCUGAGGCGUGAUGACGAGGCACUACGGUGCUGAAGCAACAAAUGCCCUGCUUCCAGGAAAAGCCUCUAAGCAUCAGGUAACAUCAAAUCGUACCCCAAACCGACACGGGUGGUCAGGUAGAGAAUACCAAGGCGCUUGAGAGAACUCGGGUGAAGGAACUAGGCAAAAUGGUGCCGUAACUUCGGGAGAAGGCACGCUGAUAUGUAGGUGAAGCGACUUGCUCGUGGAGCUGAAAUCAGUCGAAGAUACCAGCUGGCUGCAACUGUUUAUUAAAAACACAGCACUGUGCAAACACGAAAGUGGACGUAUACGGUGUGACGCCUGCCCGGUGCCGGAAGGUUAAUUGAUGGGGUUAGCGCAAGCGAAGCUCUUGAUCGAAGCCCCGGUAAACGGCGGCCGUAACAAUAACGGUCCUAAGGUAGCGAAAUUCCUUGUCGGGUAAGUUCCGACCUGCACGAAUGGCGUAAUGAUGGCCAGGCUGUCUCCACCCGAGACUCAGUGAAAUUGAACUCGCUGUGAAGAUGCAGUGUACCCGCGGCAAGACGGAAAGACCCCGUGAACCUUUACUAUAGCUUGACACUGAACAUUGAGCCUUGAUGUGUAGGAUAGGUGGGAGGCUUAGAAGUGUGGACGCCAGUCUGCAUGGAGCCGACCUUGAAAUACCACCCUUUAAUGUUUGAUGUUCUAACGUUGACCCGUAAUCCGGGUUGCGGACAGUGUCUGGUGGGUAGUUUGACUGGGGCGGUCUCCUCCUAAAGAGUAACGGAGGAGCACGAAGGUUGGCUAAUCCUGGUCGGACAUCAGGAGGUUAGUGCAAUGGCAUAAGCCAGCUUGACUGCGAGCGUGACGGCGCGAGCAGGUGCGAAAGCAGGUCAUAGUGAUCCGGUGGUUCUGAAUGGAAGGGCCAUCGCUCAACGGAUAAAAGGUACUCCGGGGAUAACAGGCUGAUACCGCCCAAGAGUUCAUAUCGACGGCGGUGUUUGGCACCUCGAUGUCGGCUCAUCACAUCCUGGGGCUGAAGUAGGUCCCAAGGGUAUGGCUGUUCGCCAUUUAAAGUGGUACGCGAGCUGGGUUUAGAACGUCGUGAGACAGUUCGGUCCCUAUCUGCCGUGGGCGCUGGAGAACUGAGGGGGGCUGCUCCUAGUACGAGAGGACCGGAGUGGACGCAUCACUGGUGUUCGGGUUGUCAUGCCAAUGGCACUGCCCGGUAGCUAAAUGCGGAAGAGAUAAGUGCUGAAAGCAUCUAAGCACGAAACUUGCCCCGAGAUGAGUUCUCCCUGACCCUUUAAGGGUCCUGAAGGAACGUUGAAGACGACGACGUUGAUAGGCCGGGUGUGUAAGCGCAGCGAUGCGUUGAGCUAACCGGUACUAAUGAACCGUGAGGCUUAACC